UGUCUUAUUGUUGCUUUGAAGCAUUCAAAAUUCUUGCUCAGAAUUAUUUAGAUAUCGAAUCCCAUGAGCUGUUUGCAAAAAUUGGCCAAUUGUUGGAGGAAACGAAAAUGUCACCAGCUGAUGUUGCAGAGAAUUUGAUGCCAAAGUCAGAUGAUGAAGACGAAGAGACUUGUCUUAAGAAGUUGAUUGCUGCUCUGGAGACAAUAGAGGAAGAAGCAAAACUGAAAGAAGCAAGGAAGAAGUCUGAGGAAGAUGCAAAUUCGAAAACGGAACAAGAAUUGAAAGAGAAAGACCAAUUACCUAAAGAAGAUGAGAGGGACGAUAAUGACGUAUCUAAAGAAAUCAAAGAUAAUGGAUUGAUUUCAAACGGGAAGAAGGAGACUUCCCUUUGAAUACCAAUUGGGUAGUUGCAGAAUGUAGAUUUGUAUGCAAGUCAUCAUGAAUAACUAGAUUCGUAUGUAAGUGAUCAUGAAUAACAAAGUCACAAAUAUACAUCAGAAUGUAGAUUCCUAUUCCUGCUCUCAAGGCCUUUACUUCAAGGGGCUUUAUCUCGAGCUCUGUAUUUUCAAGCAAGCGAGUUUCAACUCUAAACCUAACUUGGUGUUUGAUGUGCUUCUUUAAUUUUAGGUGCCCUCUUCUCAAAAAUUAAGGAGUUGGAUUUGUAAGCUAUGAUCACACACAAAG
rnacentral:misc_RNA from 1 species